AUACGUAGGUGGCAAGCGUUAUCCGGAAUUAUUGGGCGUAAAGAGUGAGCAGGCGGUUAAUUAAGUCUGCGGUUAAAGCGUGGGGCUCAACCCCAUAAAGCCUUGGAAACUGAUUGACUAGAGUACGGGAGAAGGGAAGGGGACUCCAAGUGUAGCGGUGAAAUGCGUAGAUAUAUGGAAGAACACCAGUGGCGAAGGCGCUUCACUAGCCCGAAACUGACGCUCAGUCACGAAAGCGUGGGUAGCAAAUAGGAUUAGAUACCCUAGUAGUCCACGCUGUAAACGAUGACAACUAAAUAUUGCCGCGAGGCAGUGUUGAAGCUAACGCAUUAAGUUGUCCGCCUGGGGAGUACGGUCGCAAGACUGAAACUUAAAGGAAUUGACGGGG
rnacentral:rRNA from 1 species